rnacentral:rRNA from 1 species
GUAGGUGGCAAGCGUUGUCCGGAAUUAUUGGGCGUAAAGCGCGCGCAGGCGGUUCUUUAAGUCUGAUGUGAAAGCCCACGGCUCAACCGUGGAGGGUCAUUGGAAACUGGAGAACUUGAGUACAGAAGAGGAAAGCGGAAUUCCACGUGUAGCGGUGAAAUGCGUAGAGAUGUGGAGGAACACCAGUGGCGAAGGCGGCUUUCUGGUCUGUAACUGACGCUGAGGCGCGAAAGCGUGGGGAGCAAACAGGGAUUAGAUACCCUGGUAGUCCACGCCGUAAACGAUGAGUGCCAAGUGUUAGGGGGGUUUCCGCCCCCCUUAGUGCUGCAGCUAACGCAUUAAGCACUCCGCCUGGGGAGUACGGCCGCAAGGCUG